rnacentral:rRNA from 1 species
CACGUAGGGUGCGAGCGUUGUCCGGAAUUAUUGGGCGUAAAGAGCUCGUAGGCGGUGUGUCGCGUCGGCCGUGAAAACUUGGGGCUUAACUCUGAGCGUGCGGUCGAUACGGGCAUCACUUGAGUUCGGCAGGGGAGACUGGAAUUCCUGGUGUAGCGGUGAAAUGCGCAGAUAUCAGGAGGAACACCGGUGGCGAAGGCGGAUCUCUGGGCCUUACCUGACGCUCAGGCACGAAAGCUAGGGGAGCGAACAGG